rnacentral:tRNA from 1 species
GGGCCCGUAGUCUAACGGCAAAACACUUCGCUUGCACCGAUGAGCUCCGCGUUCAAUUCGCGGCGGGUCCA